UCAUUUAAAAUUGCGCGGUAACCCGAGAUUCAGGGAGAUGAAGAACACAUGGAACCAACCAAACAAACCCGAUGAAAUAAAACAAGAAUCUAUGUAAAUACGAAAAACACAACCUACGUGUCUCUUUUCCUAAAAAACCAUGCAACAGAGAGAUAGUAGGGCUCACAAUGGAUGAUUUUCUAAUGGCCAUCAUCUUUUCCUCCCUCUCAUCCAUCUCAAUGCGUUCCAUCGAGCUGGCAAUUCUUCGCAGAACUUGCGCAGUUCGACGAAUCCAGGUUUACCAUUCAAUGCUGGAGCAUAGCACAAUCCAUGUUCUUCUUUCCUUUUCGUAUUCUCAAAUUUUGGUUUUCCAGAACCUGUUUCGAUUCCGUUCACUUUACCUCAGUUUUCCUGCAAAGAAGGGAGGACAAGGGGUUUCAAUUCUCUUGCCAUUCUGAGAAUACACGCACGUAUUGUAUAUAUAUAUAUAUAUAUAUACAUAGAUAGAUAUUAAGAUGAGUACAGAACAAACCGACGUGAACAAUGGUUCUUAUUCUCCAUCACCUAAGAAAAAUAAAACGAAACAAAAGAAUCAAGACAAGGAUUCAGCUCCGUCAAGAAAGUCUUCUGAUUCUGAUUCAGGUUCUCCUGAUUCAGAUUCUCCGGAUUCGAAAGAUUCUCCGGAUUCUCCAGAUCCUCCCAAUUCAGAUUCUCCAGGCUCAGAUUCUCUAGAUUCAGAUUCUCCAGACUCAGAUUCCCCGGAUUCAGAUUCUCCGGAUUCGAAAGAUUCUCCGAAUUCAGAUUCUCCGGAUUUGGAUUCUCCAGAGAGUCAUCCGUCUAAGUCACCACCGUCUCCGCCACCUCCGUCCAAAACUUCAUCCCCAUCUCCAUCGGCUUCGCCGUCAUCUAAAGGUUUAAGUCCAUCACCACCAUCACCGUCAUCUAAAGAUUCAAGUCCAUCACAACCACGACUGUCAUCUGAAGAUUCAAAUCCAUCAUCACAACCUCAGUCAUCUAAAGAUUCAAGUGCAUCUCCGCCCCUUCAAUUGUUAGCAUCGCCUCCACCACCCUCGCCAUCGCCAUCUUCACCACCACCAAGUUCGCUCCCACAUUCCCCACCACCCCCUUCGCGCCACCAGUCACCCCCACCACCUCCGCGUCCGCGUUCCCCGCCAUCCUCUUUACCCCUACCUUCCCCGCCACCCCCUUCGCCCCAACCUUCCCCGCCUCCCCCACCUUGGUCACCGCCAUCAAAUCGAGUGCCAGAGCAAAAUGACAAUUCUUCCCCGCCACCACCAUCAACACAGUUCCAUGCUCCACCUCCCCUUUCUUGGCAAACUGAAGCCAUGAAUGAUUCAAAAUCGGGAACUUCUAGGAAUUCAAAUUCAACAGGAUCAAGCCCCCCGAUCAACCAUGACGUUAAUUCCGACGCAAACUCAACGGUUUCUUCUCUCGCCCCCUCUUCCGGUGAUAAUUCAGAAAAAUAUGUUGCCUAUACAGUAGCCGGACUUUUAGCUGUUGCCUUGGUUGCUAUAGCUGUAGCUAUUGCUUUCGCGUUUAAGAGGAAGAAAUCAAGUGAUGAUUCUAACUGUGCACCCUACAUGCCACCCCUUGAUAUUCAAGUCAAAUCAGGUGCUAAUGGGCAUUACUAUGUACAGCAGCCUUCCCUUGCAAACAACUAUUCAAAUGGGAAUGCGAAAGUGAAGCAUUUUGGAUCUUCUCUAGACUCGGCUCAGCCCACAAAUGGUCCCAUGAUUUUCACCUAUGACAUGGUUAUGGAAAUAACAAACUCAUUUUCUAGUAAAAAUGUUGUAGGAGAAGGAGGCUUUGGAUGUGUUUACAAAGGUUGCCUGCCGGAUGGAAAAAUAGUUGCAGUAAAGCAGCUUAGGGCUGGCAGUGGGCAGGGAGAAAGGGAAUUCAAGGCUGAAGUGGAUAUCAUUAGCCGAGUACAUCAUCGAUAUUUGGUGUCAUUAGUUGGUUAUUGCGUGUCUGGACAGCAAAGAAUUCUUAUCUAUCAAUAUGUUCCUAAUGGAACACUCCAUCAUCACUUGCAUGGAAGUGGAAUGCCAGUGUUGGAUUGGGUCAAAAGGCUAAAGAUUGCUAUAGGCGCUGCUAAGGGCCUUGCAUAUCUUCACGAGGACUGCAGCCAAAAGAUAAUUCACCGAGAUAUUAAGUCAGCAAACAUACUCUUGGAUGAUGCUUUUGAGGCAAAGGUUGCAGACUUUGGACUUGCUAGGCUAGCUGAUGCUGCCAAUAGCCACGUAUCAACUAGGGUUAUGGGGACCUUUGGGUACAUGGCUCCAGAAUAUGCAACAAGUGGAAAAUUAACGGACAGAUCAGAUGUUUACUCAUUUGGUGUUGUCCUCCUUGAGCUUGUUACGGGAAGGAAACCCGUUGAUCAAACUCGGCCAAUUGGAGAUGAGAGUUUGGUUGAGUGGGCUCGUCCACUUCUCCUUCGUGCAAUGGAGACACGUAAUUUUAGUGAAUUAGUAGAUCCAAGACUUAAAAAACACUUUGUGGAGAGUGAAAUGUCCAGAAUGGUUGAGGCAGCUGCAGCUUGUGUUCGCCACUCAGCUCCUAAACGGCCUCGUAUGUUUCAGGUGGUAAGAGCCUUGGAUACUGGAGAUGAAAAAUUUGAUCUUUCUAAUGGGGUGAAAUAUGGUCAGAGCACAGUUUAUGAUUCUGGCCAAUAUGAUAAAGAUAUAAUGGCAUUCAGAAGAAUGGCGAAUGGCACCUUUUUUGAUUCUGAUUUUAACACGUAUGAUAGUGAAUAUAGUCUCUCAAAACAGACCUCGGGAGGAUCCCAACAAAACUUGAUGCGGCUUAGUUCUAGUGGCGAGUCAGAAUCUAGAGCUAUCAACUGGAAUAUGAACAGUCUUGAAUUAAAACGGUGAUUGAGGAAAGUACACAUAGCAGUGCAGUGAUGAAUAAUGAGCAUUGACAUUGUGGAGUUAAAGGCUGCUGCUUUUAAGUCAAUUCAAUACCAAAUUCUCCUAUGGGAACAUCACAUUGCAUGAUCAUUAUACCACAAGCCGUGAAUGUUUCUGGUUUUACAUGAAUUUGAACUUUGGCCUGUUUCCAAUCCUGUAUAUAUUGAAGCUUCACUAAACCCUUUUCUCUGUCUAAUUUUUGCUCUAUUUUUUUUCCCCCUUUUUUAAUACGGGGGGAUGUUGGCAGCUUGUAAAAGGAUAAGGAUGUUGGCAGCUUGUAAAAAGAUAAGUUUGUUAAGUUGAAGGAUUAGAGCCGCUUGGGGGUCCUUCAAUGCUAGGAUGAGAGGUGCACUGUUUUGUUGCAGGCUGAUGGACACUCGGAGUUAAAGUUGCUGACAUGUGUGGUAGCCACCAAUGUGAGUACUGUUCCCUUAAUGGCAGAUGUUCAAUGAUAUUCAGACUGGU